rnacentral:ribozyme from 10 species
AGUCGACUAAGCGACUCUAAACAGCAUUUAGGCUUAGUGCGUUCCCCUGCUCACGCGGGGGAGGUAUGG